rnacentral:lncRNA from 1 species
CAAAACAAAACCCCGGCACCGCCACGCUCUCCCUCCUGCUCCUCCUGGCAUUCGGUGGCGGCUACCUUUUCGUGGUUUUUCUUUUUUUCUUUUUUUCUUUUUCUUCUUCUUCUUUUUUUUUUUUUUCCUUGGGGAUUCUCCUUUCUCCUGCCAGACUGACUUGCACCUUCUCGAUAAUUUCUCUUACCCUCGUUUUUUAUACUCUUCUCCCUGCUUCCAAACCCUGUGUCUGUGUGUUUCAGUACUAUCACAACCUCUGCUAAAAAUAGAUCUUUUUAUAUACCCUUCCUCCUCUCUGACCCCAUCCAACACCCCUUGUUAAGGGAACCAUCUUAAACCCAGGGCAAGAAACGUAAAGUCAUUUGGCUGUCCCUUAUUUCUAAGGGCACCUGAUGCAUAAGUGGACUAGAGAAAGGAAAGAAAGAAAACCUCCAAAGACCUACAGAUCAUCUUGCUGGCAGGAACUGGAAACUUCCCUGUUUGACAACCCAGAGGAAUAUUGAUAUACCCAGAGGGGAAACUCUGCCUGUCUUCACUGUGACAAAAUCUUUGAAAGGAGGCACAGGAAUAACAUCAGCAUUUUCAAAAAGGAGAACAACACUCCAGAGUCUUGAGAAUGUUUCACAGAGGCUUUCCAGUGGGGAAUGUUUGCGGAAUUUAAAGAGGUCAUGUGAACUCACAGGAGAGAACUUUCUCCUUUCUAUGAGGUGGGGAGGUACCUAUGGGAAGCCAUUUUUCCAGGAGGCUAACAAAUUGCUUUAGGAGGUGAGUAAUUAACGUGAGGGGGAGAAAACAGCAAGUAGUACUGAGACUCAGUUCCUGGAUUAAGGUAGCACUUGCUCUGAGGAGCUGAAGAGCCUUUUAUGUGUGGCAUUCAGCUAUGUGACUGUUGGCUCCGUAGACUCUUGUACAGCUGCCACAUAAUCCAAGAUAUGAUUGAUGUGACUGCAAAAGUGAAGCUUGAAAUUGGUCUUAAAUUGUCCUAAGAGCAGCCGUUGUGUUAUGAAGUAGAUCUCCUUGCUCAGGACAUGAGCAGGCUGCUCAGAAAGCAUGGCCAAAAAUUGCACUUACUGCUACUUCAGAGGCAGAAAAGAGAUUUUUGUUUGCUUGUUUGUUUAUUUAUUUAUUAUUUAUUUAUGGGAUAGCUAAUGGAAAGAAAUUGUAUCAGCGUGGAAA